rnacentral:rRNA from 1 species
CAGUCGCCACGGUAAUACGUAGGUGGCAAGCGUUGUCCGGAAUUAUUGGGCGUAAAGGGCUCGCAGGCGGUUUCUUAAGUCUGAUGUGAAAGCCCCCGGCUCAACCGGGGGGGGUCAUUGGAAACUGGGAAACUUGAGUGCAGAAGAGGAGAGUGGAAUUCCACGUGUAGCGGUGAAAUGCGUAGAUAUAUGGAGGAACACCGGUGGCGAAAGCGGCUCUCUGGUCUGUCACUGACGCUGAGGCUCGAAAGCGUGGGUAGCGAACAGGAUUAGAUACCCGUGUAGUCCCUGUCUCUUAUAU